rnacentral:misc_RNA from 1 species
AACGCACAUUGCGCCCCUUGGUAUUCCGAGGGGCACGCCUGUUCGAGCGUCAUUUAAACCAUCAAGCACAGCUUGGUAUUGGACCCGGUCGAGUGACCCGUCCGUAACCCGUUGGCGGGUGCAGUCCGGCUUCAAGCGUAGCAAAAUUCUCGCUUCAGGAGUCCGUACGGUACCCGCCAGGUAAUGGCCACCUUUUAAAGUUUGACCUCGGAUCAGGUGGGGAUACCCGCCCAACUUAA